UACGGGAGGCAGCAGUGGGGAAUAUUGCACAAUGGGCGAAAGCCUGAUGCAGCUAUGCCGCGUGUAUGAAGAAGGCCUUAGGGUUGUAAAGUACUUUCAUCGGGGAGGAAAAAACAAAACUAAUAAUUUUAUUUCUUGACGUUACCCGAAAAAGAAGCACCGGCUAACUCCGUGCCAGCAGCCGCGGUAAUACGGAGGGUGCUAGCGUUAAUCAGAAUUACUGGGCGUAAAGAGCACGUAGGUGGUUUUUUUAAAGUCAGAUGUGAAAUCCCUGGGCUUAACCUAGGAACUGCAUUUUGAAACUGAAAUACUAGAGUAUCGUAGAGGGAGGUAGAAUUCUAGGUGUAGCGGUGAAAUGCGUAGAUAUCUGGAGGAAUACCUGUGGCGAAAGCGGCCUCCUAAACGAAUACUGACACUGAGGUGCGAAAGCGUGGGGAGCAAACAGGGAUAGAUACC
rnacentral:rRNA from 1 species